GCGUAGGUGGGCAGGUAAGUCAGUGGUGAAAUCUCUGGGCUUAACCCAGAAACUGCCGUUGAUACUAUCUGUCUUGAAUAUAGUGGAGGUGAGCGGAAUAUGUCAUGUAGCGGUGAAAUGCUUAGAUAUGACAUAGAACACCCAUUGCGAAGGCAGCUCGCUACACUAUUAUUGACACUGAGGCACGAAAGCGUGGGGAUCAAACAGGAUUAGAUACCCUGGUAGUCCACGCCCUAAACGAUGGAUACUCGACAUCAGCGAUACACUGUUGGUGUCUGAGCGAAAGCAUUAAGUAUCCCACCUGGGAAGUACGACCGCAAGGUUGAAACUCAAAGGAAUUGA
rnacentral:rRNA from 1 species